rnacentral:rRNA from 1 species
UCCAGAGGGUGCGAGCGUUAAUCGGAAUUACUGGGCGUAAAGCGUGCGUAGACGGCUAUCUAAGUCGGGUGUGAAAGCCCCGGGCUCAACCUGGGAAUUGCAUUCGAGACUGAAUAGCUAGGGUACGGUAGAGGGAAGUGGAAUUUCCGGUGUAGCGGUGAAAUGCGUAGAUAUCGGAAGGAACAUCAGUGGCGAAAGCGACUUCCUGGACCAGUACCGACGUUCAGGCACGAAAGCGUGGGGAGCAAACAGG